ensembl:lncRNA
CAGCAAAUAUCAGCAGCGUAGCAACAUUUGUACCUCCUAUCAGCUGAGCAGUACUGCCCAGAGUGUAUUAAACAGAUCUACUAAUUGCUCUUGUAUCUAUUGCUGUUCAGUAUAUAUGAUAGAUAUUGUAGUGUAUUCACACUGGGGGUCAAAGGUUUGGAAUAAUUAGGAUUUUUGAUGUUUUUGUAAGAAGUCUCUUAUGCUUGACAAGACUGCAUUUAUUUGAUCAAAAAUCAUGUGAACCAGUGAUACUGUGACAUGUUAUUACAAAAUAACUGUUUUCCAUUUGAAUAUAUUUUAAAAUGUAAAUUAUUCCUGUGAAGACAAAGCUAAAUUUCAGCAGUCAUUACUUACUGAAAUCAUCCGAAAUAUGCUAAUUUGGUGUGGAAGAAACAUUAUUUAUUAGUACGUUUUUAUUAAGAAAUUCAUAAUAAAGCAAGGAUGCAUCAAAUUGCUCAAAAGUAACAGUAAAAAGAUUUAAUGUUAGAUGUUUAUUUAAUGUUUCUCGUGCUAGAAAGACAUGUUCUUUGUGCUGUUCUUUAGCAGGGAGUUUUAACUGCUGGAUACUUCACUUAUAACAUUAAGAAAUGUUGCUUGAGCAGCAAAUUGCCAUGUUAGAAUGAUUCUGACCCCCAGUGGGUGUGUAUUUUCAUUGAAACACUAUGACGCUCUGACUUUAAAGGAAAUCUGCUGUGUUUCAUUUGUUGCAAAUGUGUUUCAUUCUGGCAUUUCUUCACUGUGACUUGUGUAGGAUUUGAAAUCAUGAUUCAGAGAAAAAUACAAAUGAUUUCAUUAAAAGUCUUAAAAAGCUUAUCAAGAUCUUUUGUUGAAUGCAUGAUCUGUUGUAGACCACAACAACAUUACAACUAUCUCACUUACUGUAUUGCCCUUAAUUAUGCAAUAAAAUGCAAAUCUGAACCCCACUGUGAAAUGUGAAAUAUACUAUUAUAGCAGUAGAAUUCGUUAGCAACAGUGAGACAGGAAAUUACAGGAAAAAAAAGGAGGGUGGUGGGUGGCAAGACGGUAACCACUAUUCUCCAAAAUGUCAUGCAGGAAUGCAAAUUUUAGUUUCACAGAAAAACAUAGCUACACAAUAAAUGCAUUAUAGCUAUCA